GACGAACGCUGGCGGCGUGCUUAACACAUGCAAGUCGAACGGAAAGGCCCUGCUUUUGUGGGGUGCUCGAGUGGCGAACGGGUGAGUAACACGUGAGUAACCUGCCCUUGACUUUGGGAUAACUUCAGGAAACUGGGGCUAAUACCGGAUAGGAGCUCCUGCUGCAUGGUGGGGGUUGGAAAGUUUCGGCGGUUGGGGAUGGACUCGCGGCUUAUCAGCUUGUUGGUGGGGUAGUGGCUUACCAAGGCUUUGACGGGUAGCCGGCCUGAGAGGGUGACCGGCCACCUUGGGCCUGAGAUACGGCCCAGACUCCUACGGGAGGCAGCAGUGGGGAAUAUUGCCCAAUGGGCGGAAGCCUGAUGCAGCAACGCCGCGUGCGGGAUGACGGCCUUCGGGUUGUAAACCGCUUUCGCCUGUGACGAAGCGUGAGUGACGGUAAUGUGUAAAGAAGCACCGGCUAACUACGUG
rnacentral:rRNA from 1 species